CUUUGCCAGAUUGUUGCUGUCCAUGCCUCGUUCCCGCACCUCCUUAUUCCUGAACUCCUGUGUACCGACCUCCGCCUGUCCUCCGACCAACCCCGAAGUGUGGCUCGAUUCUCUCUCUCUCUCUCUCUCUCUCUCUCUCUCUCUCGCUCUCUCAGGUUUCGAGUGGUGGAUUCAGUUUACCCGCAGCUGCUAUGAAAGCAGUCUCGCUUGUGGGAUGCAUGUUUCAUGGGUUGUCUUAGGAACCAGCUCCACGAGCCGUGCGUCGGUGGAUGCAACUCCACCCACGAGGAGGGAGGCUGGAGGGGAAUAGCAGACUGGCAUGAUUGCUGCUUCAAGAGCUCACGAGCAUUGGACGACAGCAGAUUUUCACUGGCACUUUGUAGCAGGGAUUUAUUUAUGCCUCCAAACAUAUAUUUGUGAUGACUGAAGUGGAUUAGAAACUUGCCUAGAAGCUGCAAAUGUUGGUGCGAUGUAUCCAGACACAACACAGAGCGAGAGAGAGUGUGCGUGCGUGCGUGCGAGAGUGUAC